UCCCAUGGUUUCUGCAUAACAGCUUUGGCCGCAGGUUCCUUACAAGAUAGGAUGCCACUCUAACACGGAGAUUGAAGAUCAAAAGGUGCACCAGUUUGCUACAGCUGUUAGUAUUGCAGUCGUGACCCCCCAAAACGAAAAUGGCAAGCAGAUCCAAUUUAGCGAAGAACUUGAUCUCCUAGAGAUUCCACGACCUGGUAGCUCCAAAUAUAGUUCAGAGGAAUUGACGAUAAUUGAUGGCGGACUAACGAUAUCGAUGACGGCCAGUGUGAAAAAUUAGAACAAUAAAAACAAAAAUUAGGGUUUUUUGUUUGACGGAUAAGAGAAAUUAGCUGUGGAGGAGAGAGAUCGGUUCCAACUCCUGGUCCUCGCAUUCCAUACAAGAGCAAUUCGGGAAUAAAAUUAUCCUAUUCAACGACGAAACGACAAUGUUCAGGUUCAGCAACACCCAUAGCUUGGUCAGUGUAGCUUCCUAACCCGAAUCUUCUCUCGGGUAAACCAACCCAAC
rnacentral:misc_RNA from 1 species